rnacentral:rRNA from 1 species
UACGAAGGGGGCUAGCGUUGUUCGGAUUUACUGGGCGUAAAGCGCACGUAGGCGGAUCGUUAAGUCAGGGGUGAAAUCCUGGAGCUCAACUCCAGAACUGCCUUUGAUACUGGCGAUCUUGAGUCCGGAAGAGGUGAGUGGAACUCCUAGUGUAGAGGUGGAAUUCGUAGAUAUUAGGAAGAACACCAGUGGCGAAGGCGGCUCACUGGUCCGGUACUGACGCUGAGGUGCGAAAGCGUGGGGGAGCAACAGG